rnacentral:lncRNA from 1 species
GGCCCCUGCGACUCCUGGUGCCCGGCUGGGACACGUGGGGCCGGCUUUGCGGAGUCAGCAGGGCCAAGGUGCGCGGGGUGCGCUCCCCCCCGGAACCCCGCCCCUUCUCACCCCAUCUCGCUUUUUUGGGAGAGGAGAGUGGAGCCGUCAGCACCCACUGGCAGUGUCGGUGCUGUGCUGGGAGUCCUCCCAGACCAGCCCACUCCUCCUGGUUUGAGCUUCCGAUCCAUCCCUACUCCUUUACGGUUCUUCUUCCCCGUAGUUAACCUGCGGAGAGGAGGAGGUACUGUCUCCGCACAAGGUACUGCGGAGGUACCUUGCGGAGGAACCUUGCGGAGGAGGUACUGCGGUGGGGAGGCAGGGGGGAGGCGCAUCUGCCUCCGCACAAGGGGUCUAAUGGCUUGCUUAUUCCUUCUAGGCCAGGUUGAAAGGUUUUUAAAAGCAGGUGGGGGUGCCAGGAUAGUGAGAAAAACAAGAAAAGACACUGCUUUUUACCCCAUGCGGGGCAGAGCUGGUCUCCUUUCUGCAGGUGUUGAGGGGAGUUGAGUAGGAGCCCAGAGCUGGUACAGGCCCCGUUUAACGUGCCCCCGCAGAGUGAGGGCUGGGGGUCACCCCAUAGGCAGGGGAGCCCUUCUGGGAGGGAAUUCCUGCUUAGGUGGGAGGUUGACCUGAAUGACAUCUAGGUCCUCUACCUCCCAGAUGCCGAAUUUUCAGGGAAGGAACCAAAUGGAUGUAUGGCCCAUGCCUGGGUUUGAAUCCCAGUUCUGGCCUUCAUUCCUCCAGGCCUCCAUUUCCUUGUCUGCACUAUGGGGCCAUGGUGAGAACUCUGAAAUAACACCAACUGCCUGGUGCUUGGUAGGUGCCACAUUACAAAAGCGGUGGGAAGGAGGCCCUUUGGUUUCCAUGUCGGUGGUCAUGUCCCACAGUCCCCGUUGCCAUCCUGAUUAUGGAAAACUUCAUUUCAUGCUCCAAAUGUUCCUCAAUUCCUGGCACUGUUCUAGGUCCUGCACCCAGGCUGGUAUGAAAAAGGUGCCGAGAAGGUCCCAUGCAUCACCAGCCUGGAGGUAGCAGCAGAAGGGAAACCAGUGCCUCUGAGAGUGGGCAACUGUGCCCCAUCCACCUCCUCUUCUUCUUGGAGAUCUCAAGAUAAGACAAGAGACAUCAACCUGGGAUUGGGUUUCUGGGCAGAGAGUAAAAGUGAGCUCCUUCUGCCUGUGCACGCAGCUUCCCUCGGUACUGGGAUAGCCGAGAUCCCUUACUAGAAGCAGCUCACAAAACCUCCCCCAGUUACUGGGAUAGCCCAGACACCUUCCUAGGGCAGCAGCGGAAGAAAGAAGGGGACAAAAUACCAACGACCAGAAAGAAGAAAGAACUUAGCCUCAGUCACCAGCCACUGGGAGCUGAUAGUAACUGAAGGGAUGGAAAGCCCUCUGGGACAGUUUUAGUGGGAGCCCUCCAGAGCCUGGAGAGACUGCAGGUGGAGCAGGAAGGUGGGGAAGAAUUAGAGCAGUGACCCCGGCCACUUUUGGCCUCACGGUUCUGCACAAUGAGACAUUGCUCAUCUUCAGAGAACCGUGCCAUUCUGGCCAUCUGGCAUCCUAGACAAUUUUCCACUGUCUCUCAGUAUCCAGCCAUCCAGCCAUCUAGCCUCCUAACUACUUCUCUGUGCUGGUCCAGCCCAGUGCUCAGAGUUAGGAUAUUUUUAUGAAUAAAACAGACCUAGCUUCUGCCCUCGUGGAGCUUACAGCGUGGGGCGAAAGGAGACUGAUCAAAAUGCCACACACAUGUAAUUUACAACCUUGGGAAGUGCCAAGAAGGGGAAGUGUUGGGUGCCACUGAGAACAUUCACAGAGGUUAACCUGGGGCUGAGGUGGAGGAAAGGUCAGAUGGAAGCUGUCUAACCACCCUGGGCUUCUGGCUUAGGAUGUGUAGGGCUAGCAGCUCAGCCCAUGAGGUUGUGUCUUGAACUUGGGUAUUGAUGGAAUAGCUAUAGAAACAGAACAACCAUGAAGUGAAGAUGGUGAAUGAAGAUCCUCUCAUCAGCUUGCGAUUGCAUGACAGAGGAGGCUGCAAGGACACUCAGGUGUGAAGACGGGGCAUGCAGAAGGAAGAGAGCCUUCCAGAGGAAAGUCGCCUUGUUCCUUGCUUUGUGACCCUCAUCUCUGCGAGGUAGAGAAGAAAAGGAGGGCUCUUCCAUCGGGAGCUUCCAAGGUUCCGGGUGAGAGCUAGCCAGCUCUGCAUUUGGAGCAGAGAGAGACAGGAAUUUGGGACACUAGGUCACAAGUUGGUCUCUUCCUUUGUCAGCAGUCCAUUCAACAUGGCAAUGCCCACACCCACCUCACAAGGCAUGGAUGACACAAAGAGAUGGCUUGCCUGCAAGAGACCCAGCUGGUCUGGAGUUGGAGGCACACUUCAUUUCUCUGCCCAGCUCGGCAGGCGGCUGGAGCAAACCAGGAGAUCGCCUCAAAUGUUUUAAAUGUCAAUAUGGUCCCUUCUUGCUGGCUUGCCAAGAUUUGACCAGCUAAAUUGGCCUGUGUGGUGUGUUCCCUGCAGUGCACGAUGAGAUAAAAAUGACUGGGCAUCCAGAUUAAUGACUGGAUCACAUGCAGGAACGUACUGGCUGUGAGCAGCCCUGGGCCAGGGCAGAGGUGAACUUGACAAUCAUGUGGACGCUGGCUUUUGAUUACUGCUUCUUCUGGGCUCACGCUACCCAGGGCUCUCUUUAGACCAUCUCUAGGUGAACUUUCUGCCCCAGGAAUGAUCACCUCCAUUUUACUGGUGAGAGGUUCAAGGACUUCCCUUCCUUCUUUCCUCCCUUCCCCUUCUCUCCACUUCCUUCUCCUUCCCUCCUACAUCAUUUUUCCCUUUCCUUUCUUCCUCCCUUCCUUUAGCAAAUAGCCCUGGAGCAGCUGACCGGUUCUAGGAGCUGAGAACAGGGUGAUGGGUAAGAGGGACAAGGGCUUGCUCUCACGGUGUUUACAUUCUAGUGGGGGCAGGAGACAAGUCAACAGAUCAAUAAUUUCAGAUAAGAACAGCUGCUCUAAGAAGAACAACUGGGGAGUGAGAUGCAGUCCACUUUAGGCCGGUGGUUGGGGACGGCUUCUCUUGAGAGGUGGCAUUUAGGGGACUAAAUGGUAACAAUGAGCUGGCCUUGGGCAGGUCUGGGGGCAGAGCCAUCAGUGCCAGGGCACAGAGCUAGGAAAUGCAGAGCAGCUGGUACCCACGACUGGUCUUGCCUGAACCCCUAAUCCUUGCUCUUUCUGCCACAUCCUGCUUUCCCACUUGGCCAAAGAAUUGUGGUUGGCCAAAGGUGGGGCUAAGCUGUGCAGUGGGAGGGGCCAGGCUGAGCUGGAGGUGGCCAGGAGCCUCCUGGUACAGGGCCCUGGUGCCAGUGUCCUCACCCUCCCAGAAUCCUGUUCAUUUGUGUUGAGGACAUGGGGUGAAGGAUCUGAAAAUGCAUGCGCAGGCAGACGACCCACCCAGGCCAUUCACAGCCGCAGCAGUUUGGGACUCUCCGCUUGGCCCAGGUAGGGAGGCACUUGCGGUCCUUCCCAGGCCUGCCGUGAGGCUCCAGGGCCAGCGCCUAUCCCCAGCCCCAAGGAGGCACUCCGAAGAACCUAUUUUAAAUCUCAGCUCAGCAUUUUUGGCCAACUUACAGAGAAGCUGCAAGAUGAGUAAAGGAACUUGCCUAUAUUUUUUAUCUAGAUUUACCAGUUGUUGACAUUUGCCCAUCUGCUUUGUCAUUGGUGCUCUCUCUAUUCUGUGUGUGUGUGUGUGUGUGUGUGUGUGUGUGUGUGUGUGUGU